UUAAAAGUCCGAGCACGAGAGCUGUUAC
rnacentral:sRNA from 1 species